UCUUUCUUUCUUUCUUUCCCCAAUUCUUUAUCUCAGUCCCAUCUGUUCAUUACAAGGACCAAAAAAUGAUCCUGUGGCUAAACCUGCUGUCGUUACUAGCUGUCCUCAGAGGUGUCCUAUCUGAGGUCCAGUUAGUGGAGUCUGGAGGGGAUGUGGUGAGACCUGGGGAGUCCCUCCGUCUCUCCUGCCAAGGUUCUGGAUACAGCUUUGGUGGCUACAGCAUGUACUGGGUGAGAGAGGCUCCUGGAAUAGGAUUGGAAUGGGUAGCCUACAUAAGUCAUGAUGCCGGUGCUACUUACUACUCAGGCAAAGUCAAGGGCCGCUUCACCAUCUCCAGGGACAAUGCCAAAAGCCAGCUGUAUCUGCAAAUGAGCAGCCUCAAACCUGAAGACACGGGAGUCUAUUACUGUACGAGAGACACAGCGAGAGGAAGUGGCUCUGAAGCCAGACAAGAACCUUCUCUCUCCCUCAGAGCAGGAUUCAGUCACAAAAAGUUGAAUUUAAGUCUUUGCAUUGAGGAGCAGGUGAUCGAUCUACAUCUACAAGUGGAAUGUUUCAUGGAAUACUUUAAGACUUUUAAAAAGGGAGACCCAUAUAAAUUAGGGAAAAUAGAAGCCCAAAGAUAA